AAGAGUAGGUGGAGAAUGCUAUUGCUUUCUAUGAAUGAGACCUGUUCAGAUGGAUAACCGAAUGUGGAUCAGCAAAGAGACUUUGAGACGGAAUUGACAGAUCUGCUUAGCGUUUCAACUCUCCCCACACACACACACACACACACACACACACAAAGUUGAUACGAGGAAAUA